CUUAAAUGACGUCAUUUCCGCAAUUAUUUAAUAGGAAUUGAUUUGACUUGCUUCCGUUUGCCGCCAUUUUAGUCACCUGGAGGCGAGCUUGCUCGGAGUUCUUCAUAGCGUCUUUAACUUCCAAACUAGCAACAUCUGCAAUUGACCGCGCGUGUGUGACCGCGAACGACAUGUACGUGAUGGUGGUUGGCGCCAAAGGGGACGAGUGUCUUCCGGACGACGAGCAGGUGGACCCAGAGCGUCGGAUACCGGAGAAACUCGGACCCCGGCGAGAUUCAAAACGGAUGAAACGAGGUACGUGGGAUUCUGAUAGCUUUAACAC